rnacentral:rRNA from 1 species
GACGAACGCUGGCGGCGCGCUUAACACAUGCAAGUCGAGCGAAGCGGCGGACGGGUGAGUAACACGUGAGUAACCUGCCUUAGACAUUGGGAUAGCCUCGGGAAACCGGGAUUAAUACCAAAUGGUCUAAGAUGGACUCGCGUCCCCUUAGCUAGUUGGUGAGGGAACGGCCCACCAAGGCGACGAGGGGUAGCCGGCCGGUGAUGGGGAACGGCAACAGUGGAACUGAGAAACGGUCCAAACUCUACGGGAGGCAGCAGUGUGGAAUAUUGCACAAUGGAGGGAACUCUGAUGCAGCGACGCCGCGUGAACGAAGAAGGCUUUCGAGUCGUAAAGUUCUUUUAUAUGGGAAGCGGUACCAUAAGAAAAAGCCCCGGCUAACUACGUGCCAGCCGCCGCGGUAAUUC